AACGAACGCUGGCGGCAGGCUUAACACAUGCAAGUCGAGCGCCCCGCAAGGGGAGCGGCAGACGGGUGAGUAACGCGUGGGAAUCUACCCAUCUCUACGGAAUAACGCAUGGAAACGUGUGCUAAUACCGUAUACGUCCUUCGGGAGAAAGAUUUAUCGGAGAUGGAUGAGCCCGCGUUGGAUUAGCUAGUUGGUGGGGUAAAGGCCUACCAAGGCGACGAUCCAUAGCUGGUCUGAGAGGAUGAUCAGCCACACUGGGACUGAGACACGGCCCAGACUCCUACGGGAGGCAGCAGUGGGGAAUAUUGGACAAUGGGCGCAAGCCUGAUCCGGCCACGCCGCGUGAGUGAUGAAGGCCCUAGGGUUGUAAAGCUCUUUCACCGGUGAAGAUAAUGACGGUAACCGGAGAAGAAGCCCCGGCUAACUUCGUGCCAGCUGCAGCCGCAGUAA
rnacentral:rRNA from 1 species